rnacentral:rRNA from 1 species
UGAGGAAUAUUGGACAAUGGGCGCAAGCCUGAUCCAGCCAUGCCGCGUGAGUGAUGAAGGCCUUAGGGUUGUAAAGCUCUUUCACCGGUGACGAUAAUGACAGUACCUGGUAAAGAAACCCCGGCUAACUCCGUGCCAGCAGCCGCGGUAAUACGGAGGGGGUUAGCGUUGUUCGGAAUUACUGGGCGUAAAGCGCACGUAGGCGGACUAUUAAGUCAGGGGUGAAAUCCCGGGGCUCAACCCCGGAACUGCCUUUGAUACUGGUAGUCUUGAGUUCGAGAGAGGUGAGUGGAAUUCCGAGUGUAGAGGUGAAAUUCGUAGAUAUUCGGAGGAACACCAGUGGCGAAGGCGGCUCACUGGCUCGAUACUGACGCUGAGGUGCGAAAGCGUGGGGAGCAAACAGGAUUAGAUACCCGCGUAGUCC